rnacentral:rRNA from 1 species
UAUCUUUAUAGAGCGUCGCAAUGACUCUCGGCAACGGAUAUCUCGGCUCUCGCAUCGAUGAAGAACGUAGCGAAAUGCGAUACUUGGUGUGAAUUGCAGAAUCCCGUGAACCAUCGAGUCUUUGAACGCAAGUUGCGCCCGAAGCCGUUUGGCCGAGGGCACGUCUGCCUGGGCGU